UUUGUAGUUCUAGUCUUACCAUUCAACAUCUUCUACCGCUCGAGUCGCUUCUUCUUCCUCACAUGCCUCUUCCACUGCCUUGCUGCUCCUCUUUACAAGGUAACCUUACCUGAUUUCUUGGUGGGCGAUCAGUUAACAAGUCAGGUGCAAGCUCUUCGAAGCAUCCAAUUUUACAUAUGUCACUACGGUUGGGGGGACUACAAACAUAGAUUGAACACUUGCGCAGAUUCAGGUGCCUACAAUGCUUUCUUAUUCAUUGUUGCUGUCAUCCCAUACGGUGCUCGUCUCCUUCAGUGCUUGAGGCGACUGUUUGAAGA